rnacentral:rRNA from 1 species
CCUACGGGAGACAGCAGUGAGGAAUAUUGGUCAAUGGACGAGAGUCUGAACCAGCCAAGUAGCGUGAAGGAUGACUGCCCUAUGGGUUGUAAACUUCUUUUAUAUGGGAAUAAAAUGUUCCACGUGUGGGAUUUUGUAUGUACCAUAUGAAUAAGGAUCGGCUAACUCCGUGCCAGCAGCCGCGGUAAUACGGAGGAUCCGAGCGUUAUCCGGCUUUAUUGGGUUUAAAGGGAGCGUAGGUGGAUUGUUAAGUCAGUUGUGAAAGUUUGCGGCUCAACCGUAAAAUUGCAGUUGAAACUGGCAGUCUUGAGUACAGUAGAGGUGUGCGGAAUGCGUGGUGUAGCGGUGAAAUGCUUAGAUAUCACGAAGAACUCCGAUUGCGAAGGCAGUUCACUGGACUGCAACUGACACUGAGGCUCGAAAGUGUGGGUAUCAAACAGGAUUAGAUACCCCAGUAGUC